GCGAGAAGUAAUUGUUUCUAGCUCCUAUUAAUACACGCCCGUUCGACUUCUAGGAAAUAUAGACCUUGACAUCCUUAACAAUAACUUCACAACAACUCGCAGCGUUGUUGAAAUGUGACAUAGCAGGCACACGUUCUUGUCAUCACAUCACCCAAAAGGUUUCUUUCAAAUCGUGUGGAUUAACAUAAUGAAAGUACAUAUAUUUAUCUUGUUGGCGUUUGUCCUGCAAGUAUUCUGCACACUAGCAAGGACAUGUGACGUGGAUAAGUUUCAAUGCGCCAACAACGGAUGUAUUUCCGCCAGUUUCAGAUGUGACGAUGAUAAUGAUUGCGGUGACUAUUCAGAUGAGC